GCCAUGGCGGCGUGCUACACAUGCAGUCGAACGAUGAACCGCUUUCGGGCGGGGAUUAGUGGCGAACGGGUGAGUAACACGUGGGCAAUCUGCCCUGCACUCUGGGACAAGCCCUGGAAACGGGGUCUAAUACCGGAUAUGACUGUCCGCCGCAUGGUGGAUGGUGUAAAGCUCCGGCGGUGCAGGAUGAGCCCGCGGCCUAUCAGCUUGUUGGUGAGGUAGUGGCUCACCAAGGCGACGACGGGUAGCCGGCCUGAGAGGGCGACCGGCCACACUGGGACUGAGACACGGCCCAGACUCCUACGGGAGGCAGCAGUGGGGAAUAUUGCACAAUGGGCGAAAGCCUGAUGCAGCGACGCCGCGUGAGGGAUGACGGCCUUCGGGUUGUAAACCUCUUUCAGCAGGGAAGAAGCGAAAGUGACGGUACCUGCAGAAGAAGCGCCGGCUAACUACGUGCCAGCAGCCGCGGUAAUACGUAGGGCGCAAGCGUUGUCCGGAAUUAUUGGGCGUAAAGAGCUCGUAGGCGGCUUGUCACGUCGGUUGUGAAAGCCCGGGGCUUAACCCCGGGUCUGCAGUCGAUACGGGCAGGCUAGAGUUCGGUAGGGGAGAUCGGAAUUCCUGGUGUAGCGGUGAAAUGCGCAGAUAUCAGGAGGAACACCGGUGGCGAAGGCGGAUCUCUGGGCCGAUACUGACGCUGAGGAGCGAAAGCGUGGGGAGCGAACAGGAUUAGAUACCCUGGUAGUCCACGCCGUAAACGGUGGGCACUAGGUGUGGGCAACAUUCCACGUUGUCCGUGCCGCAGCUAACGCAUUAAGUGCCCCGCCUGGGGAGUACGGCCGCAAGGCUAAAACUCAAAGGAAUUGACGGGGGAC
rnacentral:rRNA from 1 species